UACAGAGGGUGCAAGCGUUAAUCGGAAUUACUGGGCGUAAAGCGAGCGUAGUCGGUUAUUUAAGUCGGAUGUGAAAUCCCCGGGCUCAACCUGGGAAUUGCAUUCGAUACUGGAUAGCUAGAGUUCGGCAGAGGGAAGCGGAAUUUCGGGUGUAGCGGUGAAAUGCGUAGAUAUUCGCAAGAACACCAGUGGCGAAGGCGGCUCACUGGCCCGGAACUGACGCUGAGGUGCGAAAGCGUGGGGAGCAAACAGG
rnacentral:rRNA from 1 species